CUAUGCGCCUUGCCAGCCCGCUCAGGUGUGCCAGCAGCCGCGGUAAUACGGAGGAUGCGAGCGUUAUCCGGAUUUAUUGGGUUUAAAGGGUGCGUAGGCGGAUUUUAAGUCAGCGGUAAAAUGUCCGGGCUCAACCCGGGCCGGCCGUUGAAACUGGGGAUCUUGAGUGGGCGAGAAGUAUGCGGAAUGCGUGGUGUAGCGGUGAAAUGCAUAGAUAUCACGCAGAACUCCGAUUGCGAAGGCAGCAUACCGGCGCCCUACUGACGCUGAGGCACGAAAGCGUGGGUAUCGAACAGG
rnacentral:rRNA from 1 species